UCGUAACCACGACGCUCUCGGCGAUGGCGUUCGACUAUCCGCCUGACAGGAUAUCGUUGUAUGUGUCGGAUGAUGGCGGGUCGGAGCUGACGCUGUUUGCAUUCAUGGAGGCGGCGAAGUUUGCGAGGCACUGGCUGCCAUUCUGUAGAGAGAAGAGGAUGCUCCAGAGGUCACCGGAGGCAUAUUUUGCCUCCGACGAGGGUGGGGAAUCCGAUGAGAUGAUGAAGAUGUAUGAAACCAUGAAAGAAAAGGUGGAAGGUGUGGUUG
rnacentral:misc_RNA from 1 species